CUCUAUCCUAGUGCAGGCAUCCUGGGAAAUAAGAAAUAGGUGGAAACCACAACUUUGAAAAUCAGGAAAUUAUUACCUCUUUUUUUUGUCAUGGAAAUGUGGUGAGAAGCUCUACACAAUUGGAACUCUGCAAUCAAGAGCCACAAGCUGUUUACAAGAGUUAGACAGGAAAGGAUAGGCAAGGCUGUUACACGCUAGGAAAACUUGGGAGAUCACAGACACAUAAGCAUCAUGUUUGUGCCAGGGGAAAUUCUCCCAGUAGCCAUGUUAAGACACAUGUAAGUAAAGGAGGUGAUCCGAGACAGCCAGCAUUGCUUCACCAAGGGCAGAUUGUGUCUGACCCAUGUGUUGUUCUUCUAUGGUGGAGUAAGAGCAUCAGAGGACAAAGGAAGUGUAAGUGAUGUCAUGCACAUGGACUUGUGCAAGGCUUUUGACAUGGUCCUAUACAACAUCCUUAUCUCUAAGUUGGAGAGGUAUGGAUCUGAAGGACGGGCUAUUCAGUGGAUAAGGAAUUGAAGUAGUUGGAUGGUCACAGCCAUAGGAUUGUGGUCAAGAGAGCUGUGUCCAGGUGGAGACCGGUGAUGAGCGGUGUCCCCUACUUGUCUUGGGACCAGUGCUCUUCAACAUCUGUAUCAGUGGAUCAAGGCAGUGGGAUCAAAUGUGCCCUCCGCUAGUUUGUAGAUGGCACUUAAUCUGAGUGGCACAGUUGGUGCAAUAGAUGGUAGGGGUGCUAUCCAAAGGACCUACUCUGAAGACUCAGAAACUACAGACCCAUGAACCUCAUGUCUGUGCCAAGGAAGACAGGGGAACCGAUUCUUCUGAAAGCCGUGUUAAGAUGUGCAAGAAAAAGAGGUGUUACAACACAGCCAGCAUUGCUUCAACAAGGGCAGAUCCUGUCUGAUCCACCUGGUGUACUUCUAUGGUGUAGGAACAGCAUCACUAGACAAAGGAAGAGUAAGUGAUGUCAUCCGUGUGGACUUGUGCAAGACCUUUGACAUGGUCCCACGCAACAUCUUUAAGUUAAAGAGAUAUGCAUUUGAAUGGUGGACUAUGCAGUGGAAAAAGAAUUGGUUGAAUGCUUAUAGGCAUAGGAUCCUGGUCAAGAGCUCCAUGUCCAGGUGGAGGCCAGUGACAAGUGGUGUCCCCUGGCGUCUCUGUUGGGACUAGUGCUCUCCAAAAUCCUUGUCAGUGGAUCUAGACGUUGGGAUCCAAUGCACCCUCAGCAAGUUUGAUGGUAAAAUUUAUUUGAUUGGUACGUUUGAUUGAGUAGAAGAAAGGGUUGCCUUUCAAAGGGACCUGGACAAGAUUGAAAAGUAAGCCCAUAUGAGUUGAGUGAGGUUCCACAAGUUGUAGUGGCUUGAACUUGGCUCAGGUCAUUCCCAGGUUUGAGUACAGUGUGUGAGAUGAGCUAACAGAGAACUGCCUUGUUGACAAGGACUUGGAGUUUUAGGUGGACAAAAAGUUUGACAUGAGCCAUAAAGUGUGGGCAUGCAGCCCAGAUGGCAACUUGUAUCCUGGGCUCCAUCAGAAGAGCGGUGGCUAGCGGGGUGAGAGCACUGAUGGUCCCAACUCCCUUUUGUCUUCAUUAGGAACCACCUGGGGUGCUGUGGAGCAAUUGAAGCAGAAGGAGGAGAGGUCGUGAAGGUGAUAGGAAGGCUGAGGCACCUCUUUUAUGAAGAAAGACUGAGACUUGUUCAGCCUGGAUGAGGACUGGGGAGGGAGACCUCACUGUGGCCUUCCAAUACGUGAAGGGAGCUUAUAAAAAGAGGCUGUUGGGCACCAGUUCAGUCAUUCAAUGCUGGUAUGUGUCUGGUCCGGCCAAUCAGUUAUUUGCCAUCUGCUGAUUAAAAAGAAGAGAAAAUGAGGAAAAUGAGACUGUACACUCAAUGGAAACAACACAUUUAUGCAAAUUCCAAACUGCAUGGAGGAAAAGAGUUCGCGGUGGAGACCCGGGAAGUGAUACCCAGAGCAGCACUCAGUGACUCUGCCCUAGAACAGAGUUAGUGUUCUAGUGUGAAAGCAAGCUGGAGUGAUGGAGAAUCGUUUCCUUACAGCACCUUUACCUCAAAGCUGCCUGGCUCCUAUUCUGUGCUGAUAUCUGUCAGGACCAUCCCUGCACGUACUUACAAUUUGCUGGUUAAUAAGAAGUCCAAGUGAGGAAAACGUGACCCUACAAUCAAUGGAAAUAACACUUUGCCAUUUCGACACAGCAUGGAGCAAAAGAGUUCGCGGUGGAGACCCGGGAAGUGAUACCCAGAGCAGCG
ensembl:lncRNA